AGGGAUUUAGCUAAGUAGUUUAAGCGCUUGCCUGGUAAGCAUGAGGUCAUGAAUUCGAUCCCUG
rnacentral:tRNA from 1 species